rnacentral:rRNA from 1 species
GCCCAGACUCCUACGGGAGGCAGCAGUGGGGAAUAUUGCACAAUGGGGGAAACCCUGAUGCAGCGACGCCGCGUGAGCGAUGAAGUAUUUCGGUAUGUAAAGCUCUAUCAGCAGGGAAGAAAAUGACGGUACCUGACUAAGAAGCCCCGGCUAACUACGUGCCAGCAGCCGCGGUAAUACGUAGGGGGCAAGCGUUAUCCGGAUUUACUGGGUGUAAAGGGAGCGUAGACGGCUGUGCAAGCCAGAUGUGAAAGCCCGGGGCUCAACCCCGGGACUGCAUUUGGAACUGUGUGGCUGGAGUGUCGGAGAGGCAGGCGGAAUUCCUAGUGUAGUGGUGAAAUGCGUAGAUAUUAGGAGGAACACCAGUGGCGAAGGCGGCCUGCUGGACGAUGACUGACGUUGAGGCUCGAAAGCGUGGGGAGCAAACAGGAUUAGAUACCCUGGUAAG